GAUGAACGUUGGCGGUGUGCCUAAUACAUGCAAGUCGAACGGAGACUGUAGCAAUACUGUCUUAGUGGCGAACGGGUGAGUAACGCGUUGGUGAUCUGCCUCGAAGUGUGGAAUAACCUCCCGAAAGGGAAGCUAAUACCGCAUAGUCUCUCAAGGUUUAGAAAAUUGAGAGUAAAGGAUUUAUUCGCUUCGAGAGGAGCCUGCGUCCCAUCAGCUAGUUGGUAGGGUAACGGCCUACCAAGGCAAUGACGGGUAGGGGACCUGAGAGGGUGGCCCCCCACAAUGGAACUGAAACACGGUCCAUACACCUACGGGUGGCAGCAGUAGGGAAUAUUAGAAAUGGGCGGAAGCCUGAUCUAGCAACACCGCGUGUGCGAUGAAGGCCCUUGGGUCGUAAAGCACUUUUUGGAGGGAAUAGGAAGGAAGGUACCUCCAGAAUAAGUCUCGGCUAACUACGUG
rnacentral:rRNA from 1 species